rnacentral:rRNA from 1 species
UGAGGAAUAUUGGACAAUGGGUGAGAGCCUGAUCCAGCCAUCCCGCGUGAAGGACGACGGCCCUAUGGGUUGUAAACUUCUUUUGUAUAGGGAUAAACCUUUCCACGUGUGGAAAGCUGAAGGUACUAUACGAAUAAGCACCGGCUAACUCCGUGCCAGCAGCCGCGGUAAUACGGAGGGUGCAAGCGUUAUCCGGAUUUAUUGGGUUUAAAGGGUCCGUAGGCGGAUCUGUAAGUCAGUGGUGAAAUCUCAUAGCUUAACUAUGAAACUGCCAUUGAUACUGCAGGUCUUGAGUAAAGUAGAAGUGGCUGGAAUAAGUAGUGUAGCGGUGAAAUGCAUAGAUAUUACUUAGAACACCAAUUGCGAAGGCAGGUCACUAUGUUUUAACUGACGCUGAUGGACGAAAGCGUGGGGAGCGAAUAGG